rnacentral:rRNA from 1 species
CUUGUCUCAAAGUCCUAAGCCAUGCAAGUCUUCGUACAAACUGCAUUAAAGUGAAACCGCAAAAGGCUCAGUAAACCAGUCAUGAUUUACGUGAGUAAACGUGACUGUCUUUGGAUAACUGUGGUAAUCCUAGAGCUAAUACAUGCAAUCAAGUCCCGACCAGUUCCACUGGGAAGGACGCUUUUAUUAGAUCAAGACCAAUCGCCCGGUUUCGGCCGGGCGUCGCCUUGGUGACUCUAGGUAACACAUCAGAUCGCACGGUCUCGCACCGGCGACUCAUCCUUCAAAUGCCUGACUUAUCAACUGACGAUGGUAGACUCCAUGUCUACCAUGGUGAUAACGGGUAACGGGGAAUCAGGGUUCGAUUCCGGAGAGGGAGCCUGAGAAACGGCUACCACAUCCAAGGAAGGCAGCAGGCACGCAAAUUACCCACUCCCGGCACGGGGAGGUAGUGACAAAAAAUAACGAUACGGGACUCAUUUGAGGCCCCGUAAUCGGAAUGAGUACACUUUAAAUCCUUUAACAAGGAUCCAUUGGAGGGCAAGUCAGGUGCCAGCAGCCGCGGUAAUUCCUGCUCCAAUAGCGUAUAUUAAAGUUGUUGCGGUUAAGGGGACAGGCGGCUUAUAGUCGCACGAGAUUGAGCAAUAACAGGUCUGUGAUGCCCUUAGAUGUCCUGGGCCGCACGCGCGCUACAAUGAAAGAAUCAGCGUGUGUCUCCCAGCCCGAGAGGGCCGGGUAAUCCGCUGAACCUCUUUCGUGCUUGGGAUUGUAGCUUGCAAUUGUUCUUCAUGAACGAGGAAUUCCCAGUAAGCGCGAGUCAUAAGCUCGCGUUGAUUACGUCCCUGCCCUUUGUACACACCGCCCGUCGCUACUACCGAUUGAAUGAUUUAGUGAGGUCUUCGGACCGGCGGGAAAUCCCUAUCGCUUCGGCGGUAUCGACGAACGCUGGGAAGAUGACCAAACUUGAUCAUUUAGAGGAAGUAAAAGUCGUAACAAGGUUUCCCUUGGCAAAUGCUUUCGCAAAAAGCUCGUAGUUGGUUCUGCGUGCCACGCUGUCGGUUCGCCGCCUGCCGGUGCUACUGGCAUGUCGUGGCAUGUCCUGUCGGUGGGUGUCCGGGGCCCCGUGCGGGCGACAGGAGGCCGGGUCCGCCCGUGUCCUUCCCUGCACGUCGGCGGGUUCACUCCGGCUCCCUACUAUCCUACCUAGGUGCUCUUCACCGAGUGUCGAGGUAGGCCGACACGUUUACUUUGAACAAAUCAGAGUGCUUAAAGCAGGCUGAAAAAUUCUGCCUGAAUGAUGGCGCAUGGAAUAAUAAAACAGGACCUUGGUUCUAUUUUGUUGGUUCUUAGGAACACAAGGUAAUGAUCAAUAAGGACAGGCGGGGGCAUUCGUAUUGCGGGGUUAGAGGUGAAAUUCUUGGAUCCUCGCAAGACGACCGAGAGCGAAAGCAUUUGCCAAGUAUGUCUCGAUUGAUCAAGAACGAAAGUUAGAGGUUCGAAGGCGAUCAGAUACCGCCCUAGUUCUAACCAUAAACGAUGCCAGCCAGCGAUCCGCCGAUGUUCCUCCGAUGACUCGGCGGGGAGCUUCUCCCCGGGAAACCAAAGCUUUUGGGUUCCGGGGGAAGUAUGGUUGCAAAGCUGAAACUUAAAGGAAUUGACGGAAGGGCACCACCAGGAGUGGAGCCUGCGGCUUAAUUUGACUCAACACGGGAAACCUCACCAGGUCAGGACAUUGUAAGGAUUGACAGAUUGAUAGCUCUUUCUUGAUUCAGUGGGUAGUGGUGCAUGGCCGUUCUUAGUUGGUGGAUCGAUUUGUCUGGUUAAUUCCGAUAACGAACGAGACUCUAGCCUAUUAACUAGACGAUCCGAGAGCCCACGUCUCUCGCGACAAUCACUCUUCUU